rnacentral:rRNA from 1 species
CCUACGGGAGGCAGCAGUGGGGGAUAUUGCACAAUGGGGGAAACCCUGAUGCAGCGACGCCGCGUGUGGGAAGACGGUCCUCUGGAUUGUAAACCACUGUCCCCAGGGACGAAGAUGACGGUACCUGGGGAGGAAGCUCCGGCUAACUACGUGCCAGCAGCCGCGGGAAUACGUAGGGAGCGAGCGUUGUCCGGAAUUACUGGGUGUAAAGGGAGCGUAGGCGGGACUGCAAGUUGGGUGUCAAAUCUACCGGCUCAACCGGUAGCCGCACUCGAAACUGCAGUUCUUGAGUGAAGUAGAGGCAGGCGGAAUGCGUAGUGUAGCGGUGAAAUGCGUAGAUAUUAGGAAGAACACCAGUGGCGAAGGCGGCCUGCUGGGCUUUUACUGACGCUGAGGCUCGAAAGUGUGGGGAGCAAACAGGAUUAGAUACCCUUGUAGUC